AAAAAAUAGUAUAGCCGCUCGGCUAGACUCAGUUUUUUUUAUUUUUCAUGUAUGGCCGCACGGCUAUACGAUUUUACGUGUGGGUGCCAAAGGGUUGUGCGUCUGUUCUCUUUUUUUAUAGGGUAAACUGCCGAAUAGCCCCCUGGACUAUUUCGGUUAUCGAAAUGUCCACCUUCAAUUAUUUUUUUAGCCAAUUUAGCCUUCAUAUUAAAUUUAUUCGCCAAUUUCACCCUUGCCGUUAGUUUUUCCACAAUUCCAUCUAAUUGCCAUCAAAAACACCACGUAAGGGUAAUCUUGUCCUUUUCACAACUUCGCUGCUUGUCUUCCAUUUCACAACUGCACUGCUUGUCUUCCAAAAUCACACAAAGAUCAACAAGAACUGCUGUAAAUCCCCCGAGUUUUGGUUUAUUGAAUUAAUUAUAUAGAAAAGACAAUGCAGACACCAAGCUAUCACCCACCUUGCACAAUCUGAAAGUCUGGUGUAGUUUCAGAUCCCAGAAACACCCAAAACCCAAACCAUGAAAACUAGAUAACAAACCAAUUGCCUUGCCUCAUUUUCCAUUUCCAAAUCCAUUCAAUAAAAAACCCCACCAAAAAAACAAAAGUCUGCUUGCUUUUAUCGUUCAUGGGAAAGGCACUUCCUUCAGCAACCAGAUUCCAAGAGUUCACCAGAGUUGUCUCUACGGACAAGCCAGGCCCAGACGCACCAAGCAAGUCUCGCAAGUCCGAAUUGCGCCCUCAUAAGCACCGAAAUAGGAGAGCUUUCGGGUCGACCCGGAGCGAAUUAAGCUGAAGAUGGAGAGCUCCGAGGGCCAAAGCCGAGUUCCGCUGGCCCAGGUGGUCUCAGACUGCGUGAAACGGUAGUUCCAGGACACGCUCAAGGAGGCCAAGGUGGGUGAUAGCUCCACGCAGGUCUUGGUGGGUCAGAUGUAUUACAUCGGUUUGGCGUUUCUAGAGACGCCAAAAAGCUAAUCCCAGUGUAGUGGAGGUCGUACUACUGGGGAUCACCAAUUGCUUGGACAAUCUAUGGCAUCUUUGCAUCUCAAUUUGGUGACAUUAAGACCGUUAUUGAUACUCCUCAAGGACCUCAGAGAGUGGAUCUAUACCUUAAGGAAAAUCUAGGUCAUGAACAUGACUUUGUAAUACCUGUGUUCUUCGCUCAUAUAGGUUGGGUCCUUCUCUUCUUCUUUGUCUUUGCCUAUGGUAUCAAGUUCCUUAACUUCUAAAAGAGAUAAACAACUUCACCCUGCAGCUGAGCUGAGUGACCUUCAGGAUGUCAAAUAGAUUGUUCAGGGUAAAAUUAGCUUAGUAGUGAGUCAGGGUAAAAUUAGCAUAGCAGUGAUCUUCAGGACAGCUUUUCCCUAUUAAUUUGUAUAAUAUGAAAAUACUGGUUGUGCUCUUCAUUA